GUCGGCUUAGAGUUUGAUCCUGGCUCAGGAUGAACGCUGGCGGCGUGCCUAAUACAUGCAAGUCGAACGAAACUUCUUUAUCACCGAGUGCUUGCACUCACCGAUGAAGAGUUGAGUGGCGAACGGGUGAGUAACACGUGGGCAACCUGCCCAAAAGAGGGGGAUAACACUUGGAAACAGGUGCUAAUACCGCAUAACCAUAGUUACCGCAUGGUAACUAUGUAAAAGGUGGCUAUGCUACCGCUUUUGGAUGGGCCCGCGGCGCAUUAGCUAGUUGGUGAGGUAAAGGCUUACCAAGGCAAUGAUGCGUAGCCGAACUGAGAGGUUGAUCGGCCACAUUGGGACUGAGACACGGCCCAAACUCCUACGGGAGGCAGCAGUAGGGAAUCUUCCACAAUGGGCGAAAGCCUGAUGGAGCAACGCCGCGUGGGUGAAGAAGGUCUUCGGAUCGUAAAACCCUGUUGUUAGAGAAGAAAGUGCGUGAGAGUAACUGUUCACGUUUCGACGGUAUCUAACCAGAAAGCCACGGCUAACUACGUGCCAGCAGCCGCGGUAAUACGUAGGUGGCAAGCGUUAUCCGGAUUUAUUGGGCGUAAAGGGAACGCAGGCGGUCUUUUAAGUCUGAUGUGAAAGCCUUCGGCUUAACCGGAGUAGUGCAUUGGAAACUGGGAGACUUGAGUGCAGAAGAGGAGAGUGGAACUCCAUGUGUAGCGGUGAAAUGCGUAGAUAUAUGGAAGAACACCAGUGGCGAAAGCGGCUCUCUGGUCUGUAACUGACGCUGAGGUUCGAAAGCGUGGGGAGCAAACAGGA
rnacentral:rRNA from 1 species